rnacentral:rRNA from 1 species
CAGGACGACGCUGGCGGCGUGCCUAAUACAUGCAAGUCGAACGGUCUUUCUAUGGAAGCUUGCUUCCACUGAGAAGAUAGUGGCGAACGGGUGAGUAACACGUGGGUAACCUGCCCAUAAGAGGGGGAUAACAUCCGGAAACGGGUGCUAAUACCGCAUAGUUUUCUUGAUCGCAUGAUCGGGAAAGGAAAGACGGCCUUUGUGCUGUCGCUUAUGGAUGGACCCGCGGCGUAUUAGUUAGUUGGUGAGGUAACGGCUCACCAAGACGAUGAUACGUAGCCGACCUGAGAGGGUGAUCGGCCACAUUGGGACUGAGACACGGCCCAAACUCCUACGGGAGGCAGCAGUAGGGAAUCUUCCGCAAUGGACGAAAGUCUGACGGAGCAACGCCGCGUGAGUGAAGAAGGUUUUUCCGGAUCGUAAAACUCUGUUGUCAGAGAAGAACAAGUUGGAGAGUAACUGCUCCAGCCUUGACGGUAUCUGACCAGAAAGCCACGGCUAACUACGUGCCAGCAGCAGC